GACUUAGCUCAGCUCAGGGGGGAUCCGGGUCUCGGGGAAUCUGCGUCCAUCCUCCCCGCCCGGGGUGCGCUGUCGCCCCCGAACCCCUCCGGUGUCGAGAGACGGCUCUAAGGGCGCGAUGGUCGCUGGCAUUCCCCUGCUCUGAGUCAGGGUCCUCACGACUGGGUUGGGUCCAAUCGAGCUGCCUCGAUGGAGUUGAGAGUCGGGAACCGGUACCGGCUUGGCCGAAAGAUCGGGAGCGGCUCCUUCGGGGACAUUUACCUCGGUACUGAUAUAGCUGCUGGAGAAGAGGUUGCCAUCAAGUUGGAAUGUGUGAAAACCAAACAUCCUCAACUUCAUAUAGAGAGCAAGAUUUACAAGAUGAUGCAGGGUGGAGUGGGCAUUCCCACAAUCAAAUGGUGUGGUGCCGAAGGUGACUACAAUGUAAUGGUGAUGGAGUUGUUAGGACCAAGCCUUGAAGAUCUCUUUAACUUCUGUUCAAGGAAAUUCAGCCUCAAGACAGUCCUUUUGCUUGCUGACCAAAUGAUUAGCCGAAUAGAAUAUAUUCAUUCGAAGAACUUCAUUCACCGAGAUGUAAAGCCUGAUAACUUCCUGAUGGGUUUAGGCAAGAAAGGCAAUCUUGUCUACAUCAUAGAUUUUGGGCUGGCCAAGAAAUACCGAGAUGCUCGAACCCACCAACACAUUCCAUAUCGUGAAAAUAAAAACUUAACAGGAACUGCCCGCUAUGCCUCCAUCAAUACUCAUCUUGGAAUUGAACAAUCUCGCAGAGAUGACUUGGAGUCCUUGGGCUAUGUACUCAUGUAUUUUAACCUGGGCUCCCUCCCCUGGCAGGGAUUGAAGGCAGCUACAAAGAGACAGAAAUAUGAACGCAUCAGUGAAAAGAAAAUGUCUACACCCAUUGAGGUUUUGUGUAAAGGAUACCCUUCUGAGUUUGCAACAUACCUGAAUUUCUGCCGCUCGUUGCGUUUUGAUGAUAAACCGGAUUAUUCGUAUCUAAGGCAAUUAUUCCGAAACCUCUUCCACAGACAAGGCUUCUCCUAUGACUAUGUAUUUGACUGGAACAUGCUCAAAUUCGGUGCAAGUCGUGCAGUUGAAGACGUUGAGCGUGAACGGAGAGAGAGAGAGGAAAGAAUGAGACAUACACGAAAUCCAGGUGUUCGUGGCUUACCUUCUACUGCCUCUGGCAGGCUGAGGGGGACACAAGAUGUAGCUCCACCAACCCCUCUUACCCCAACUUCACAUACUGCAAACACAUCUCCUCGGCCAGUGUCUGGAAUGGAACGAGAACGGAAAGUGAGUAUGCGAUUGCAUCGUGGGGCCCCAGUCAAUAUUUCCUCAUCUGAUUUAACAGGCCGACAAGAUACCUCGCGCAUGUCAACCUCACAGGGUACAGACUUUUAACAGCCAUGGAAAUUUCAGUGACUUUUUUCUAUACUAUGUGAAUCAUCAACUGACUUAAAGGUCACGUUUUUUUCUAACCACUGCAGAUCUCGGAGGCCUUGUGCAAAUGAAUGAAUACUAGUAUUUAUUACGUUUCAUGGUGAAGAAGGAUCAAUAAGUGCUCUUCUUUCAUGCUUAGUCCAGACUCAAUUUGACUCAAUGGACAAUAUCAACUGUAGCCAUAGUCAUCCAUCAUUUGUUCUGCUGUGUCUAGUGGCAAAAAUGUACCCGCUCAGAGAUCUUGACAUAGCUUGGGCUGUGUUUCCAAAUAAAUUGCUGUUUAUGGGAAGUAGUUACCAGCUUCUGCCUGGUAUAAGCAAAUGUCUGUAAUCAUAUCUGGAAUACAAAGAAUGUACUUAAAGCUGCUGUAGGUCUGAAAUUACUAUGCUUGAUGAAACAAAAGGUUGGAAGAGGAAUAAGCCUGUCUUAUCUGUCUUGCAUUCUUUGUAUUUAUUAGGUGUUAUUCAUGCAACUUUGAUUUUAUUUUUUGGCUCUAAAGUUUGAAAAGUUAAAAAUGUUUACCAAGCCAGCUCUGGGGAUUCAUCCUUGUCAAAAGUAUGAAACACAACUAGAUUAGCUGUUGUGAAUGAAUCUGUACAUGCAGUAACCAGGUUUCUUGACUGCAGGACCACUUAUUGUAACUUUUCCCCAUAGCUUGGACUGUUUUUUGUAAUGUAUUUCAAACAUUCACAAUAUUUAGUUGCAGGCAGUAUAGGUCACAUAAUAGGCUAAACUAUAAAUGAUUAUUGUAUAAAUAGGAUAAUGUUUGGAAGAUAAACAUAUUUCCUGCAUGGUUGUGAAUUGGGACAACAUUCAACAUUUUUUUGUUGAUCACUUUUUGUUAGACUUUCCAAAGAGAGACGGAAGAAAUUAUGAGUGGUGCCUCAAGAGAUGCUGUUAACUGAUUUUGGUAGCAAGGUUUCUUAACCUCGUUGUGCAUUUCCUUACAAUGUAUAUGUGGCAUGCAACUUAAUCGAGCUGAGAUCUGUUGCAAGUCCUGUGCAACUUUACAAAAUUGGACUUUCUCAUAUGGAAGUUAAUAGCAGGGAAUUAAGGAUCUCAGGAAGCAGUUCUCUGGAGUAUGUGAAAGUCAGAUGUUUUAAGGAACUAAGAGUUACAGUUUAGAAAUGUUCAGUCAAAAAACCUGUGAGGUGGGCUAUGUUGAAGAGAGAAUUAUGGAUGAAAGAAAGCAUAAAGAAAUGUGUUGAUUCCAAUUAAAUAAGUUUAGCUGCUGCAGUUACAGUCAAGCAAGACUUUUAUGCUAAGGCUUCAGUGCUCACACUCCAUAGGUUUAAGAUCUAUUGAACACAGUGGGACUUGCUUUUAAAUGUGCAAAAAAUGCUUUUAUUUCCUGCUAAGAACAAAUAAAACCUCAUUUUUUGAUGAUGCCACAUGAAUGCUUUUGUCUGUGACCAGUGGUCACUGAUUAAAGUAUGUUUUUUUGAAUGUAGCUUGAAGUACUUGAAUUGCUAGUCUUGCUAAUUGCUAGAAUUGCUAAGAAAUGGUUAGUACACUUAGUUGUCUCUGAUAAAAAGAGACAUAUUUUAGGGAAACAGCAGUCCUUAAUUUGGAAGAAUAUGGAGUCUCAAGGUUUCAGCACAAUGGAACUUAAAUUGUCACUGAAUGCAAACUCUUUCAGUAAAUUGCUUAUUCUAAGGCUGCAGAGUGAAACAGGUAUUUCAAUGGGGCAAAUAAUACUUUUCCUGCAAACCUAAAGUCUGCACUUAAUAUGCAUUAUACUGGUGACAGAUAUAUUUGCAUGCCAUUCUCCUGCUUGUCUUGACAAUUUUAAGAAUUCACUUUACAAGCAGAUGCGCUACUGGCCUUCUGAAUAAGUUUCAGAAACUUGCUCCCUUUGUUUCUACCCAUGAAAUACUCCAGAAAAUGAGCAAAUGUUCUAUUAAACAUCUUAAUUCACUGUAUACUUCCCAAAGUUUCAAUGGGUAAGAUGGUUCUCCUGGUUCCUAACUGGGGUCUCACUUUGAAUGCUGGGGUGGAGUAUGUCCUAGGGUUAUAUUAGAGGCUUGCUAAUGUUAAAGAAAUAAAACCUUGUGAGGUUUUGAGACUCUUUCUUUUAUCCUUCCAUCUGUAAAGCCAAGCUCCUGCAGACCCCGAAGGAAGAGGAAGAAAGUGCGUAUUUUAACCACUUAAAUUACCUGGAAUAAAGCACUUUUAGACUCUGAGAUGUAAUUGCUUGCUUUCCUUUACACUGGGGCAAUUGAAGCCCAGCAGGCUGUACUGUGUCAAAUAUCUGCAAAUCUUACUGCUUCUGUCAUAGAAUUUAGAAAGUGCUGAACUUAAAUCCAGUAAUGUGAUAGAGCAAUAUCUCACUUACCUAGGGAGUCUUAAUAUAUGGGGAAUGUUUGCAUAGCAUGCUUGGUAGGAGUAGGAAGCAAAUAAUGGUAGAAUUAUUAGUAAUUCCCUCCCGCCCCGCCCCCAUGACUAUUUUAAUAUCUGAUGGAACAUGAAGGUUGCACUUUAGAGGAAAUAUGUGAUGCAAGUUAUUGUACAGAUCAGGUAGAAUUUGUCAAGGAUUUGAGUGGUUUCAUAUGAUUUGUGUUUAACUGGAGAGAUAUCUAUCAUUCUGAAGCCCCAUGAUGGAAAUAGCUGUAUUCCAAGGAACAGUAUUCCUCAUGUGCACAAAGGGUCCUCUGUUUUGUUUUUUCUGUUAAGAAAAGAGCAAUCUGCUCCUCCUCCUUUCCCCAGUCAUAUAUGAAUAGAUAAUAGUGAUAUCAGCUCAUAAAUUUAGUGCAGGUAUUUUUUAAGGAUUGAUUAAAAGUUAAGUUAAUUAACCCUUCUGUUAGUUCAGAUAUGUACUCUACAUCAAUUUAGGUUUCAGUCCCUGAAAGUAUGCAUUAUUUAAAUUAAUGACUUAGAAAUGUAUGAGAUUCAGAUGUUUAAAAAUAUUUGAGGCUGAGAAGAUUGCUUCUCUUUUUGUCCAGAUUAGUUUGGUUUCAGAGGGAUACCUUCUGUCCAAAAAAGCAUUUCAGAGGUUAACUAAUUUGUCAAUUCUUCUUAUGAAGUAAAUGGGCUAUCUAAUGGAAAUCUGACUAAUUGAAGCUUGAGAAUGCCAAAUAAUGAGAUUGCAAGUUUAUAAAUAUCUAGCAGCUCCAUUCGUUGCCAGCUGCAUUGCUACUCUUGCUCCUUUGACUUACUAGCCCCAGGGGUACAAUAUAAUAAGCCUUGUCUUGUGUUCAUAUUUGUAAGAACGAGCGAAGGUUUAGAUCGCUGAAAUAAACCCAAAAAGACACAUUUCCUAUGUCUUUAUAAUUCAUGUUGUCUUCCAUUGACUUUCAUCCUGUCUAGUGCAGCUUGGAUUCUGUUCCAGUCCAGUAGCACCAAAGUUCCUUCAUAUGUUGACUUUAACUGCUACAAAAUGGUUUAUCUUCAUAUAUAGUCUUAUCCCAAUUAUUUAAUUCCUUCUAGUAAAGAGCAGUCAGGGUCAAGAAGUCCUGACAACUUUCUGUUAGAAGAAUGUGUAACACAUUGUCUAAAAACAGCAAACAAAAUAGCUGUUUCAUAGAGCUAUCUAAUAUAAAUUGGGCCAGUGUGGUACAGUGGUUAAAAAUGCAGGACUAGGACUCAGCAGAUCCGGGUUCUAGUCCUCUCUCAACCAUGGAGCUAGCUGGCUCCCUUGGAGCCAGUCACAGACGCUCAGCCCAGCCCACCACACAUGGUUACUGUUAUGAGAGGAAGAAUUAUGCAUGCCACCUUGUGUUCUCUGACAGGAUAUAAACACCUUAUACUCUAAUACACUGGCUAUUUUUGAACGGUCACAGUGGCUUCUUCUCCUCAUCUCAGCAUGCCAGCUGUACACUGGAUGAUUUCCACAAUUAUCCUCCUCAGUGUGGCUUCUCAUGGCUUGUUCUAGCUUCUGGAGUGCUUUCAAAGCCACCACAUCCCUUGCCAGAUUUAGAUGGCAUGCAAAAUGGUGCUCUGCAAAGGUAAUUAUGGAAAUUGUAUGGUGUGCAACUGGCACCCGAGGACCAGGUGAAGGAAGCCGCUGAGGCUACUUUUCCACCAGUGAUGGUGUGAACCUGGCCACUUGUUACAGAGACAGUGCAGUGUGCAGAAACAGGAACAAGGAGGGACCUGCGAACUGGCUCACUCUUCCCUCCUGCAUGGCUAGGAGAACUUUUAAAGUUCUUACUUUUGGGCUGUUGUGCUUGUUAAGCCUAGCUAUGGUCAGUUUCAAAUCAGCUUGCAAGUAUCGUUUCUGAACCUGACUUGUUGAAAUUAACCAUAGUUAGUGGGUCCAAGUGACCCUGUGAAUUGUGAUUAACUGAAAAUAGAGGCAGAAACUUGAGGCUUAUAUACGUCACACAAAAUUGUUAUAAAGCAACCUAAAUGACCCUCUUGAUAUCAUAUACACAACUAUAUGAGAAUUAAUUUCUAUUCUUAAGAAUGUUGCACAAGGGAAUAAAGAUUAAAAGGUUGUGAUCAACCAUACUGCUACACUGGUUUACACAUUUCCCAGUUGGAUAUGUGUAGUACAAUGAUAACUCCUGCCAGCCAGCAAGGGAGGAAGGUCGUCACUGAGGCCAAAAACAAACCAUGGAUGGACUAGUUCUUGGUAGGACACCAUGUAGCAAAAGUAUGGUUCCUAUGUAUCUGUGUGCUGAUACACAGAAAAGAAUAAUUAAGGUUUUCACUGCCUUUCUCUCUCUGAGGUUUUGGCCAAAGAAGGCUAAAGAGUAAAUCUUUUUACAGUUGCUUUUAGUAUUUCCCUCUUAAAACAGUGGUUUGAGUGGUUACAAUUCUUUCUGUAGGUGGAAUACAGCCUGUUUGCUGUAUUUACAGUAUUCAUGGUUGCCUGCAUUGUUGCUAGGAAGUCUCAGGGUAAUUUGCAUAGUUCUGACCUAAACAAAUUGGCGUCUUCCAAAGAUCUAAAGCACCAACAUGAUUAAAUUGUUUGAAUUCCUACCCUGGCACCCUAGUUCAUAAUCUUUCAACAUUAAAUACCAGCAAUAUAUUGCAGUCAACAUUAACUAUUUCCUUGGUGACCACUCUAGCAGGUACACCAGGGGAUGGGGUGUGAGUGGAGCCUACGGGGAGCUGAGAAUUUGAAGUUGCUGCAGAGAAAGAAGUGCAGAAGGAAGAGCAAAUGAGACAAAAGGCAGAAGAUGAUGAAGAAAGAAGAGUUGUUAAAGAGCAGAGAAGUGGAUUUUAAAAGGACAUUUUACUUCUCAAAUGUUUGAAUUGUGCUGUUUAGUAUUAAAUAAAACUGCUAAACCUCUAGGUCCUGUACACUGGCCAGAUUCUUGUUUGGCCUCUGCUUAAACUUUCUUCCAGUACAAACAGUAGGUGACUGUGGACCAAGUGAAAUAAUUCUACUUUUAUAUUCUCACCAUGUAAGCGGUCAAAUGCAGCAUCACUGAGAAUUGGUGGGAUGAUUCAUGCCAAUUUUGCUACAGUUACAGAGCCUUUAAGUAUUCACUAAUUUCAUUUCUACACCUGCCUAGCAGCCAAAGUUCUCUGGGAGGUAGUGUGGAUGAGAGCCUUCUGUGGAGGUGAAUAGAAUAAAUGCCAGGUUGCAGCCCAAAACUGUAGUCAACAGUCUUUACCAGUUUUGGAGUUGUAAUGGUGGGCAGUGAGCAGGAACAAUAAAUUUGGUCAGAGGCAAUCACAGAUAUUGAACUAAAUUCAGGAAUGGAGCCGGGGUGGGAGGGCUGUAUUGUCUCACUCAGUAUUUCUAGUGCUUCUGUAUGUAUGCUCUUGACAGUUCCCUUUAGCUUGCAUUAUUUUGUACAGGUUGAUUCAAACUUGAGCACUUUUUCAUGCCCUCCAAUUGCUAUAAUCUUCCUUCAUGCUACUGGCAAACACACAAGAUUUCACUUAAUAUGUAUUUAAGAUUGGUGUUCUUUUCCUUUCUUAAGAGCUGCAUUUUGUACUUCGUGUUGGUAGGAAUUAGUUACAAAAUUGGUGAUAUACUUGAUAAUCAUUUUACACAGAUAUUAGUUUAACUAAUAGUAUGGUGUCUUUUGCAGACUUAGAGAGAAUGUUGGUUUCCAAACUUAGCCAUCUUCUGCAGUGUGAGAGAGUAUUAUUUUGUUACCCCUCUAGCAGAAGACCAUUGAAAUUUCCUUUCAUUUCUAGAUGAGAUACACUGUUCACAAAUGUUUUCUAUGCAAGUUUCCUGAACUUAGCAUUUCCUGCCAUGUGCUGGAUGUUUUUAAGACUUAAAAUCUGCACAUUUCAUUCCAUGGUAGCAGUAGGGAGUGAUUGGCAUUCAGAAAUGAAGAUGAUUUUUUAUUGUUUUAUUUUUUUGCUUAUUUAAGGUCCACCCCCUAGGAAUUGGUUUUGAGGUUUGCAUGUAUGUGACCAUGUAUUGUAUGCAGCUUUGUGCAUAAAGGAAAGGGGACAUUAAGUAUGAAUGCAGGGGCUGGAUAAUAAUACAUGCUUAUUCAACCAGACUGGAUGGAAAAACCUUGGUUAACAUUAAAAUACAUCCUACAUCAAAUCUGCUUCAUUGGAAGAAUGAGGUCCUUUAGAACAACCAGCAACACACAGAAAAAUGUGAAGCUUUUAGGUCUGCAAGAUGAUCAUGGUUAGGGGGUUGUAUGUGCAUAAACAUACACUGUCUUGGAUGAUACAGAAGUAAAAGGAUCGCCGCUUCAGGGAAUGCAUCAGACUUGCAUUUGAUGAUGAAGCAGGCACUGCCCAUGGAGGCUUAUGACUUUGCUACUUAGUGAAGAGCUCUCUCUCUGCAGUGCUGUCUAUGUACGUGUAAAUUGCAGCUGGAGGGCUCCAGGCUGAGCUUGUGCACAGUUGAGUUCUUAGGAGCAAGGAGGGUUUUCUCCAGUUACAGAAAGAUCAAAGCCUUCUGCAAAGCAGUCACCAUGAUAAAGGAAAAUGUUUUUUUGAAUCAGUGGCCUGGGCUGGCAAUAAACAGUGGAAGAGAUCAUUUUGUGCUGAGUCAGUCAGUGCAACAAAAUGCACCUCCAAAAGGCUGUUGGUUGCCACCUGUUGCUGGAGCAGCCUUCCUGCUGCAUCAGUCGUCAAAGCUUGUCCCAUCAGGCCGGGAAGUGAGUCUCUCAGCUUCUGGCAUGGGCGGGGGGCUCUUGAUCAGCGGGCUCGUGCCUGCAGGGCAUCUCAGAGGAGGACCAUUCCAAAUUUAAGAGUACCUCUAGCUGGAAUCUCAGUUUGAAGUUAUAUAUGGGCCAGUAGAAUUGUUACAAAUGGCUGUCUUUUCCCCCCACCUCAGAAUAGCAUUCCCUUCGACCACCAUGGCAAGUAGCUGCUCGUCUCCUCCUCCUUGGAAAGCAGCCCUGGAUUCCUGCUCUGGCGACGACCAGCGUUCUCCAGUCUGCUGUGCAUCGGUGAAAUGUUGCCACUGAGGGGCAGAUAAUGCAUGGCUGAUCUCCUAUGUUACCAAUGGCUUUUACUAGCAAAACUACUCCAAACUAGAGCAGAAGAAGAUAUUACAACUGGAUCUCUCCUUGUCACUUACUAAAGAUACUUGCAGGAACAUGGACAGAAUCCAGCAGCUGCCACUACACAAGAGGCUUUGGCCAGAACCUGAUAACCUUACGUGAACUCUAGCAACAGGGCUGGAAAAGGAAGAGACGGUUUACAGCAUUAACCGCCUGUUAUUUAAUAGCCAUUUCAGUUUUCCCUCCACAGGCGGCAGCCUUUAUCCCCUUUUUAUUGUUCUACUGUAACUAUAGAUCUUUUACUUGGUUUAAGGAAGUUUUGUAUUCAUUUUGCUAAUAUUAUUGGCUUAAAUCUUUCUGUAAAGAACUGUCUUGCUUUUGUCUGAUUUAAAACCUGUGUAGAAAUGUGAACAAUCCUGAAGCUUAAAACAAAACAAAAAAAGACUUGAAAUUUCUUGUAAACUUAAGUUCAGGCAGGGAAUGUGUAAAUGAAUUAGAACAGCCUGCUUUUAUUUUACACUGUUUACUUUUGUACGAUCCCGUUUUACAGAGGAGGAGAAGGGUGUUCUCAAGGGUUUUUUUUUAAACAAUUUUAUUUUGUUUUGGCUGUCUUGUUCUUCCAGUUUUUUUUAAUAAAAGUUCCAUGCAGUGCCGAAACAUAUGUAUUUUUUAAAUGUUCAUUCAUCUCUAGUACUGUCCGAUGAAGAGCAGAGGAUACUUAGAAGAAAAAUAAGUGUACCCAGUAGAGAUGAUAAGAAUAGUCUAUAGACUGAAGGUCAGAAGUCAAAGCUAUAAUAUAACCUAUUCAGGAAGGUUUUAUUAUUGAAUGUACACUAUCCUUUAUUCACAGAAUAGGAUUUCAUGGGACAGCUUCUGCCAUUCCUAUUUGGGUUUUGGUACAGAUGCCAGUAACAUCUGAAUGGUGCCCCUGCAGUGUUAUGGUAGAUGCAUUUCUCUUAAGUACAUGGAGAACAGCAAGUACUUACAGCCUGCUGCAUUAUGCCAAGGCUCAGAGCUAUAACAAAAUGUUCCUGCUGCAAGAUGCCGAGACUUGUGACUAUUCAAACUUGUUGAAUUGUUCAAUAUUUAAUGUGCAAGUCUGGAACAGCUGGCUUUCAGCUGAAGAUAUUUACUUCUAUAAUGGCCAAAACAUUUACCUUAGCAAAUGUGUGCUAGUUUUAAAUAUGGAAGAAUAUUUGUUUUCUUGAGCAAUAUAUUUAUCCCUCUGUAACCUGGGAAAGUAGAAGGCAUGUAAGUCACACCAAAUACCACUCAAAGUAACAGCAGUCCCAUUUUGGGGGAAUGAAGAUGCAAUACUUAAGUGUGUUGUAUUACUACUACCUUUUAAUCAACUAAUGUGAGAUUCUUGCCUCCUUGGAAACUUGGUGGCUGAUAUAACUCCAUGCUUUUCCUUUUCUGUUUAUAUGCAAGUAUUUUUAUUGUUCCAAAGCUUUGCCACGUCUUUUCAGUUUUGUGAAUUUGGGAGUAUGAACAAUCUUGUCACUUUUCUUUAGCUGCUUUAGAACAUUGACCAAGUGCUUAUUUGUACAUUCACAGUCUGAUUUGAUGCAACCUAUGAUUGGGGGAGUGCAAUGGGAAUGUUUUAAUGUUGGUCCAUGGAAAAUUUUUUUGAAUAACUGUAUCACUUGGUUACUGUAGAUGUUGGUUCUCCGGGCAUGUGCACUUCCAUUUGUACAGUUCUACACUUCUGUGUGCUUUCUUUGUAAAUACUUGUGGUCAAUGAUGUAAUGUUAGAGACUUAUAAAGGCAGCCUCUUCUUCUCUCUAUAUAUCUGGAACCUUCAAUUGCUGUACUAUACUUAAAAAGAUGACUGAUGCAAAUUUUUCAACUUGUACUUGGUUGUGGGCAGUCCUUGCCCUUCCAUUAUAGUUGAAUCCCACCAUCACCUGCUGAAAAUAUAGUUAGAAUGUCUCUAUAAACCUGUGUAUUGGUAACAGAUAUCAGAACACCUCAUUUGUAUUACCACUGUAUUUGUGUACUUUAAUAAUUGUGUAAAUAAAUUCAUAAGAACUUCUAAA